rnacentral:sRNA from 1 species
ACAAAAACACAUUAGAUCCAAAUUAGAGAAACAAAAAGGAUGCCAACCAAGCAGUCUCUGCCACGCAGGUUGUAUGCAAGAUCCCAGACAAACACAGGGCAGAGGCGCCGAGGCCCUCCUGUGUCUGUCACUGGCAAUAAUCCAUGCCACAGAAGACUAUUUGCUUUCCCUGGACCUAGGUUUGCUGUGGACUUUCAGACCGGCUUCAGUGGAAAUGACAUUGCCUUCCACUUCAACCCUCGGUUUGAAGACGGAGGGUAUGUGGUGUGCAACACGAGGCAGAAAGGAAGAUGGGGGCCCGAGGAGAGGAAGAUGCACAUGCCCUUCCAGAAGGGGAUGCCCUUUGACCUCUGCUUCCUGGUGCAGAGCUCAGAUUUCAAGGUGAUGGUGAACGGGAGCCUCUUCUUGCAGUACUUCCAUCGCGUGCCCUUCCACCGUGUGGACACCAUCUCCAUCAAUGGCUCUGUGCAGCUGUCCUACAUCAGCUUCCAGAACCCCCGCGCAGUCCCCGUUCAGCCUGCCUUCUCCACGGUGCCAUUCUCCCAGCCU